rnacentral:rRNA from 1 species
UACGUAGGGUCCGAGCGUUGUCCGGAAUUACUGGGCGUAAAGAGCUCGUAGGUGGUUUGUCGCGUUGUUCGUGAAAACUCACAGCUCAACUGUGGGCGUGCGGGCGAUACGGGCAGACUGGAGUACUGCAGGGGAGACUGGAAUUCCUGGUGUAGCGGUGGAAUGCGUAGAUAUCUGGAGGAACACCGGUGGCGAAGGCGGCAUCCUGGACCGAUACUGACGCUGAGGAGCGAAAGCCAGGGGAGCAAACGGG